GUGGGGAAUAUUGGACAAUGGGCGAAAGCCUGAUCCAGCCAUGCCGCGUGUGUGAAGAAGGUCUUCGGAUUGUAAAGCACUUUAAGUUGGGAGGAAGGGCAGUAAGUUAAUACCUUGCUGUUUUGACGUUACCGACAGAAUAAGCACCGGCUAACUUCGUGCCAGCAGCCGCGGUAAUACGAAGGGUGCAAGCGUUAAUCGGAAUUACUGGGCGUAAAGCGCGCGUAGGUGGUUUUGUAAGUUGGAGGUGAAAUCCCCGGGCUCAACCUGGGAACUGCCUCCAAAACUACUGGGCUAGAGUACGGUAGAGGGUAGUGGAAUUUCCUGUGUAGCGGUGAAAUGCGUAGAUAUAGGAAGGAACACCAGUGGCGAAGGCGACUACCUGGACUGAUACUGACACUGAGGUGCGAAAGCGUGGGGAGCAAACAGGAUUAGAAACCCUAGUAGUCC
rnacentral:rRNA from 1 species